rnacentral:rRNA from 1 species
AUUUAUAUAAAAUUUUAUUUUUUUUUGUAUUUAUUUAUUUAUUUUUAUUAAAAUAUUAUAUUGUUUUUGUAUUUUAUUGUGAUUUAAUUUUUUUGAUGAUAAUAUAUUUUUACUGUAGGGGAUUAAAAUUUUUAUUUUUAUAAGUUGAUUUUAUUUAUUGUACCUUGUGUAUCAGGAUUUAUUGAAAAUUAAUAUUUAUUUUAUUAUUCUCGAUUUUAUAUGAGUUAAUUAAUUAUUUUUUUUAUUGUGUUAUAAUUAUUUAUAAUAAUUGAUUAGUAAUGAAAUGUUAUUCGUUUUUAAUGGUAUCUAGUUUCCUAAGAAAUAAAUUUAAUUUAUGUUUAUUUAUUAUUUUCUUAUUUUUAAGAUUUUUUUAAUUAUUACUAAUGUCUUAAGGGAUUAGCUUUAAUGAUUUAUUUACUAUAAAUUUGAUUUUGGUUAUUUAAUUUUAUAUUAUGAAUUUAAAGGUAAUUAUUGAUUUGAGGAAGUAGAAUUUUUAUUUAUUUUUUGUUAUUAUUUUAUUUUUUUUAGUUUUUUUAUUAGGAUAAAUUUUAAUUAAUUAUUUAUUUUAAGUUAUUAUUAUAUAAUUAGUAUAUUUAUUAUUUAUUUUUAUUUUGGAUAUUUAUUGAUUUAAUUAAUAUUUAUUAAUUAGGCAAAUAUAAUACUCGAUUGUUUAUCAAAAACAUUUUUUCUUGUGUUUGUUAUGAAAUAUGACCUGCCCACUGAAUUAUUUAAUGGCCGCGGUAUUUUGACCGUGCAAAGGUAGCAUAAUCAUUAGUUUUUUAAUUGGAGACUGGAAUGAAUGGUUGAACGAGGUAUUAACUAUUUUUUUAUUAUUUAUAGUAGAAUUUAAUUAUUUAGUGAAAAGGCUUAAAUUUUGUUAUGGGACGAGAAGACCCUAUAGAUUUUUACAUUAAUUUAUUUAAUUUUGUUAAUUAUUUUUGUUACUUAUUUUAUUGUUUGGUUGGGGUGAUUUAAAGAUAUAUAAAACUCUUUAAUUUUUAAUACUUGUUUGUGAAUUGUUGAUUCAUUAUUAUUGAUUUAUAAGAUUAAAUUACCUUAGGGAUAACAGCGUUAUUUUUUUUGAGAGUUCUUAUUGACAUAAAAGAUUGCGACCUCGAUGUUGGAUUAAGAUAAAUUUUGGGUGUAGAUUUUCAUAUAAUUGAGUCUGUUCGACUUUUAAAAUCUUACAUGAUCUGAGUUCAAACCGGUGUGAGCCAGGUUGGUUUCUAUCUAUAAUUUUUUAAAAUAUUUUAGUACGAAAGGACCAAAUUUUUUGAAUAAUUUUUGUUUUUAGUAUUAUUUUAAAU